UGAGUCUAUGUUUCUGCGCUAUGUCUGGUCCACGUGAACUACUUCUUCUCUUUGUCGACUCGGGUUUGUGACCUUACGAUCCCUCUUCCCCUUCUUCGGCGAAGUAACGCUCUGGCGUUAUCUCAAUCAACGAAGAAAACCUACUUCAUUUCACCUUUUAUUUGUUCUUUAGACUUUAAUCCCUCUUUCACUGUAUAUAUAUAUACCUUCGGCUUGGCAUCUCCUUUUAAUCUACUUUUCACCGAUUGCUUCUCACUGAAACUCUCAGACAAGCUCUCCAAUAAUGGAAAUUACCCAGCUUCACUUCUCCGAUAGAAGGCAGACCGUUGAAAGGAGGAUAUUAUGAGACUCCUCCAUUUUUGAAAAGCUCACGGAAUGUGAAGUAAGGGGGUCAGUUGAUGGGCGUAAUAGAUAUGCUCAACCUUGAUGCUUCAAGGCUACGGUGAUUCAUGGUGACCGUUGGUAAUGGUUGAAGAUGGGGGGAGAUGCCACAACAGAACCAAGUCACACUCUCACCUCAGUUGAUGGAAGCAAAACAUGAGAGGCAGGGCCGGCUUAAACUCUUCUUAGGCCCUGUGGCGAAAAUUUUUUUGUCCCCGUAAAGUAAGAAAAAUAUGGCUUAUUGCAACAAAAUAAAACAACUGUGUUAAUCAAAACAAGCAAAACAAAUGUGUAACAACUCACUGAAAUAACUAAUGUCGUAAUCUAAAAACUAACAGAAAUUAAAUCAUUUGAUUGAGAAACGUUAUUCAUACGAUCAAACCCGAAUUUUAAUCAGCACUUAAGCUUUUCACAAAUCUACUUGAAGCAUCUUUUGUGUGAUUGAAUAAAAAAUUCAAAUAAAAGGAAAAAUAACACUUAGGAAUAGGAAUCUGAACGUCUAAAAGAAAAAAAACAAAGUUGGGAAAGACCAGCAAAUAUACGUUGAACUGUAUUUAAGAAACAAAAAUAUAUUAAGAAAAAUAGAUAUAAGUUGAACUGUAUUUAGGAAUCUGUUGGGUUUUCUUCCUGACCACCUUCAAACAUACAAUGAUUUUUGAUGAGAGCGUGUUAACAAAUAACUGAAUGACCAAAUAACAAUAUGGUUUCGGUUUAGCUCUACAACCAUUAUAUAUAAUUUAUUUCUUAUGACCGUGUACAAAACAAGAAAACAUAACUUUAAAGCCUAAAAUUGAGAAAUUUAAAAAACUUUUAUUCAAGUCCGUUACCCAUUUUCAAUCGACCAUGAGGAGAUUUAAAUUCUAAUGAUUAUCUUUAAAACCUAAAAUAAUUUAAUGCUAUAAGAAAUUAAAAAAUUUAUGGACCCUUUUUGUGCAUGGACCCUGGGCGGUCGUCCUGCUGACCCCACCACUUAAGCUGGCCCUGAUGAGAGGAGGGACCUGUCAAGCAAGAUGUUUCUUCUUAAAAUAAACCACGGAAGCUUCUCUUUCAAGCAGCAGGACUCCAUUUGAGCACACAAGGUUUAGUAGCGGAAACAAAAGAUAUCAGUGGCAUAGCCUAAAGAUUAUCCGCUUCAUGCCAUUGCUGUCUAAACCAAGCCCUCUUUCAUCCCAGAUGUGGAGUUCAGUUACUAUGAUACACAAGUUCAUGCUGACUUAUAUCAACUAAUCAAGUAUUACUGUGAAGAGAAAUGUGCUACGGAACAGUCAGAUAAAGUAAUGAAGUUGUGGGUGUUGCAAAGUCCAAAGACAAUUAAGAGAAGCAUGAGCCAGUGAAAGACAACACCUGUGAUGGUUCUCACGUCUCAAACCUAAAACCGCUUCCACCUCCAAAAAACACCGACUAAAGAAAAUCCAACAAUAGGAAACUCUUUUGUGCAAGAUAACUACAUCAUGGUGCAGCUAUGACUACUGAGGAAAGCUAUUUUUCAAAGCUGGUGUCACCACUCAGAAAUGAGUUGUUAACAGAGGUGUAGAGAAUUGUAGUAAUGUUAGUGAUGUAUCAAAAGGGAAAGCGUAAGGUUAAGCGAAAAGAGGCCAUAAAGUUGAAGCACAGGCUCAUGGAUGCCCUCUAUAAUUUACUUGAUGGCUCGAGUGAUAAUAAAAAGUUUGAAGAAUGAAUGCCAAGCUUUUAUUGGAGCAGAGCUCAUAUAUUCUAUGAGUCCUUUAAUUCUGCAAUUUUCUUCUCUGUUUUUUAUUUAUUUAUUACUAAGCUUUUUGGAACCAAGCAUGACUUUCAAACCUUUUUAGCAAUGUUAACUUCAUUAUGUUUCAUGUCCUCAAGCUAUGAUUUUUUUUGUCAACCUUCAAGCUAUGAUUAAUAACUUUAUUUU